rnacentral:rRNA from 1 species
GACGAACGCUGGCGGCGUGCUUAACACAUGCAAGUCGAACGGUGAUCCCCAGCUUGCUGGGGUGAUCAGUGGCGAACGGGUGAGUAACACGUGAGCAACCUGCCCCCGACUCUGGGAUAGCCUCGGGAAACCGGGAUUAAUACCGGAUAUGACAUCACCAGGCAUCUGGUGGUGUGGAAAGUUCUUCGGUCGGGGAUGGGCUCGCGGCCUAUCAGCUUGUUGGUGGGGUGAUGGCCUACCAAGGCGACGACGGGUAGCCGGCCUGAGAGGGCGACCGGCCACACUGGGACUGAGACACGGCCCAGACUCCUACGGGAGGCAGCAGUGGGGAAUAUUGCGCAAUGGGCGAAAGCCUGACGCAGCGACGCCG